rnacentral:rRNA from 1 species
UACGUAGGGUGCGAGCGUUAAUCGGAAUUACUGGGCGUAAAGCGUGCGUAGGCGGUUCGUUAAGUCAGCUGUGAAAGCCCCGGGCUCAACCUGGGAACUGCGGUUGAAACUGGCGAACUAGAAUCUGGCAGAGGGGGGUAGAAUUCCACGUGUAGCAGUGAAAUGCGUAGAGAUGUGGAGGAAUACCGAUGGCGAAGGCAGCCCCCUGGGAUAACACUGACGCUCAUGCACGAAAGCGUGGGGAGCAAACAGG